rnacentral:rRNA from 1 species
GAUGAACGCUGGUGGCGUGUCUAAUACAUGCAAGUCGAGCGAACAGACGAGGAGCUUUCUCCUCUGACUUUAGCGGCGGACGUGUGAGUAACACGUGGAGAACCUACCUAUAAGACUGGGAUAACUUCUUGAAACCGGAGCUAAUACCGGAUAAUAUAUUGAACCGCAUGGUUCAAUAGUGAAAAUCGGUUUUUCUGUAACUUAUAGAUGGAUCCGCGUCGCACUAGCUAGUUGGUAAGGUAACGGCUUACCAAGGCGACUAUGCGUACCCGACCUGAGAGGGUGAUCCGCCAAGCUGGACCUAAGACACGGCCAAGACCCCUACGGGAGGCCGCAGUAGGGAAUAUUGCGUAAUGCGCGAACGCCUGAUGGAGCAACGCCGCGUGAGUGCUGAAGGUCUUCGGAUCGUAAAACUCUGUUAUUAGGGAAGAACAAAUGUGUAACUAACUAUGCACGUCUUGACGGUACCUAAUCAGAAAGCCACGGCUAACUCCGUG